rnacentral:rRNA from 1 species
AUUGAACGCUGGCGGCAGGCCUAACACAUGCAAGUCGAACGAGUGGCGGACGGGUGAGUAAUGUCGGGGAAACUGCCUGAUGGAGGGGGAUAACUACUGGAAACGGUAGCUAAUACCGCAUACCAUCGGAUGUGCACAGAUGGGAUUAGCUAGUAGGUGGGGUAAAGGCUCACCUCGGCGCCGAUCCCUAGCUGGUCUGAGAUGAUGACCAGCAACACUUGAACUGAGACACGGUCCCGACUCCGACGGUGGGCGGCAGUGGGGAAGAGUGCACAAUGGGCGCAAGCCUGAUGCAGCCAUGCCGCGUGUAUGAAGAAGGCCUUCGGGUUGUAAAGUACUUUCAUCGGGGAGGCGUUACCCGCAGAAGAAGCACCGGCUAACUCCGUGCCAGCAGCCGCGGUAAUUC